rnacentral:rRNA from 1 species
GACGAACGCUGGCGGCGUGCUUAACACAUGCAAGUCGAACGGAAAGGCCCUGCUUUUGUGGGGUGCUCGAGUGGCGAACGGGUGAGUAAAACGUGAGUAACCUGCCCUUGACUUUGGGAUAACUUCAGGAAACUGGGGCUAAUACCGGAUAGGAGCUCCUGCUGCAUGGUGGGGGUUGGAAAGUUUCGGCGGUUGGGGAUGGACUCGCGGCUUAUCAGCUUGUUGGUGGGGUAGUGGCUUACCAAGGCUUUGACGGGUAGCCGGCCUGAGAGGGUGACCGGCCACAUUGGGACUGAGAUACGGCCCAGACUCCUACGGGAGGCAGCAGUGGGGAAUAUUGCACAAUGGGCGGAAGCCUGAUGCAGCAACGCCGCGUGCGGGAUGACGGCCUUCGGGUUGUAAACCGCUUUCGCCUGUGACGAAGCGUGAGUGACGGUAAUGGGUAAAGAAGCACCGGCUAACUACGU